GCGGCCAGCUCCAGGCCGCCAAACAAUAUGGAGCAC
rnacentral:misc_RNA from 1 species